UACGAGGCCACACGAUGCCCAUAAUAUUAACAACACUUUCAAGAUUGAUGUGGCCGUAAUAGGUUACAAAGUUACCAACUGCGCUUUCGACAUCUGCCGUACAUAGUUCGGUACUAUUUGGCGAACCUAACGUAAUUGUCCUUCAUAGAUGAAAGGAAGGAAGGUUGGAUAUGACGUCAAAUUUUUCUGCUCAUUUCUUGUUCCUGCGGUUUCGAACCCCGCCCCUCUCUGGCCAACUCUGCUCUGUAGUUCACGUGUUGCGACAUGUAUGGUUCGUAGAGUUGGACGUCACUCUGUCUGCGGCAACGGGUUGGUCAAGAGGCAACAUCAGUGUUUGUGAACCUACAAUUCUCCUACUCAGGGUAAUACAAUCCUCGGAAAAAAAAAUCCAGUGAUUUCAUGUCAGGCAGGAUCACUGUUGAUGACACUUCAUUUCUCCCAGUCAGAUUAACACAAUGUUGGAGGCAUGAAUUUGGAGAUUUUGCACCAGGGAACAUCAGUGUUGAUGAGCUUUAAUUUCUUCCAGACAGGUUAACACAUUGUUGGGAGCAUGAAUUUGGAGAUAUCACAUGAGGCAACAUGAGCAAGGCAGACUGUCCAGUGGCCCACAUGAAGAAAGGUUAAAUGGUGAGCUUCAGGAAGAGGGCAUUGGCCGGUGUGAUGUGUAAAGGGGAGAAACUGUGGAAGGAAAUGAUGGCUUUGCGCAAGUCUUGCAGCAGAAAGCAAUUCAUGCAUGCAGACAAAUACUAAGAAUUGUACCACACCUGUGGAGAUAACCAUGUUCCUCCGAAAGCUACAUACCUACCUACAUGAGUAGACAGUGUCACAACCCAGAAGACUCCACUGUGAGCUUGCAAACUGUCUGGGAAUAGAUGUGAGAGUUUGUGCUACUAGUGACAUACAAAGUGAUAAAAUGUAUGUGUUCUUAGUGUAGAUAUUGUGAAUCUAACAUAUGGUGAAGGAUUCCACCUGAACAGUGCAAUGAGGAGGCUUGUUUCUGCAUGUGUAGAAACUGAAGUAAUUGCAUUUAGAGUGACAGAUUUGCGGAAAGGGUUGUAAACCGAAGAAGGAGUGAAGCAGUGAGAUGUGUGCAACUUUUGGAAGAGGCAGUUCACUUUAUGGACUUUGCAUCACAUGAUCACAUGGUGGCGCUAGCAAAUGGAACAGGCGCAAGUUAAAGUUCAGGCCGUUCAUCAUCCAUUAUUUGUGGUUAAUAAUUUUGGGCUGGUGUGUGUCAUUCCUUUGGGUCUGGAAGGAAUAUCAUGAUGCUGAUGGAUUAUCGGGUGAUAAAUUUAUAACAGCAUAUUCAUUGAAACAUUUAAAAAACCCAGUUCCUGACCUAUACUGUGGCGAGAUGGUGCAGAGAAGUCUUGUUUGAAAAUGAGCUGUCUCUCCACAUCCAUGAGGAGCUGAAGUGAUUGGUGGUCUUCUAU